GAUGAACGCUGGCGGCGUGCCUAAUACAUGCAAGUAGAACGCUGAAGGAGGAGCUUGCUCUUCUGGAUGAGUUGCGAACGGGUGAGUAACGCGUAGGUAACCUGCCUGGUAGCGGGGGAUAACUAUUGGAAACGAUAGCUAAUACCGCAUGACAACAGUUAUUGCAUGAUAACUGUUUAAAAGGGGCAACUGCUCCACUACCAGAUGGACCUGCGUUGUAUUAGCUAGUUGGUGAGGUAACGGCUCACCAAGGCGACGAUACAUAGCCGACCUGAGAGGGUGAUCGGCCCCACUGGGACUGAGACACGGCCCAGACUCCUACGGGAGGCAGCAGUAGGGAAUCUUCGGCAAUGGACGGAAGUCUGACCGAGCAACGCCGCGUGAGUGAAGAAGGUUUUCGGAUCGUAAAGCUCUGUUGUAAGAGAAGAACGAGUGUGAGAGUGGAAAGUUCACACUGUGACGGUAUCUUACCAGAAAGGGACGGCUAACUACGUG
rnacentral:rRNA from 1 species